rnacentral:rRNA from 1 species
UUAAUUGAAGAGUUUGAUCAUGGCUCAGAUUGAACGCUGGCGGCAGGCCUAACACAUGCAAGUCGAACGGUAACAGAGAGCAGCUUGCUGCUCUGCUGACGAGUGGCGGACGGGUGAGUAAUGUCUGGGAAACUGCCUGAUGGAGGGGGAUAACUACUGGAAACGGUAGCUAAUACCGCAUAACGUCUUCGGACCAAAGUGGGG